rnacentral:rRNA from 1 species
GACGAACUUUGGCGGCGUGCUUAACACAUGCAAGUCGAACGGAAAGGCCCUGCUUUUGUGGGGUGCUCGAGUGGCGAACGGGUGAGUAACACGUGAGUAACCUGCCCUUGACUUUGGGAUAACUUCAGGAAACUGGGGCUAAUACCGGAUAGGAGCUCCUGCUGCAUGGUGGGGGUUGGAAAGUUUCGGCGGUUGGGGAUGGACUCGCGGCUUAUCAGCUUGUUGGUGGGGUAGUGGCUUACCAAGGCUUUGACGGGUAGCCGGCCUGAGAGGGUGACCGGCCACAUUGGGACUGAGAUACGGCCCAGACUCCUACGGGAGGCAGCAGUGGGGAAUAUUGCACAAUGGGCGGAAGCCUGAUGCAGUAACGCCGCGUGCGGGAUGACGGCCUUCGGGUUGUAAACCGCUUUCACCUGUGACGAAGCGUGAGUGACGGUAAUGGGUAAAGAAGCACCGGCUAACUACGUGCCAGCAGCCGCGGUGAUACGUAGGGUGCGAGCGUUGUCCGGAUUUAUUGGGCGUAAAGGGCUCGUAGGUGGUUGAUCGCGUCGGAAGUGUAAUCUUGGGGCUUAACCCUGAGCGUGCUUUCGAUACGGGUUGACUUGAGGAAGGUAGGGGAGAAUGGAAUUCCUGGUGGAGCGGUGGAAUGCGCAGAUAUCAGGAGGAACACCAGUGGCGAAGGCGGUUCUCUGGGCCUUUCCUGACGCUGAGGAGCGAAAGCGUGGGGAGCGAACAGGCUUAGAUACCCUGGUAGUCCACGCUGUAAACGGUGGGUACUAGGUGUGGGGUCCAUUCCACGGGUUCCGUGCCGUAGCUAACGCUUUAAGUACCCCGCCUGGGGAGUACGGCCGCAAGGCUAAAACUCAAAGGAAUUGACGGGGCCCCGCACAAGCGGCGGAGCAUGCGGAUUAAUUCGAUGCAACGCGUAGAACCUUACCUGGGUUUGACAUGGAUCGGGAGUGCUCAGAGAUGGGUGUGCCUCUUUUGGGGUCGGUUCACAGGUGGUGCAUGGCUGUCGUCAGCUCGUGUCGUGAGAUGUUGGGUUAAGUCCCGCAACGAGCGCAACCCUUGUUCACUGUUGCCAGCACGUUAUGGUGGGGACUCAGUGGAGACCGCCGGGGUCAACUCGGAGGAAGGUGGGGAUGACGUCAAGUCAUCAUGCCCCUUAUGUCCAGGGCUUCACGCAUGCUACAAUGGCUGGUACAGAGAGUGGCGAGCCUGUGAGGGUGAGCGAAUCUCGGAAAGCCGGUCUCAGUUCGGAUUGGGGUCUGCAACUCGACCUCAUGAAGUCGGAGUCGCUAGUAAUCGCAGAUCAGCAACGCUGCGGUGAAUACGUUCCCGGGGCU